CACGUAGGGUGCGAGCGUUGUCCGGAAUUAUUGGGCGUAAAGAGCUCGUAGGCGGUGUGUCGCGUCGGCCGUGAAAACCUGCAGCUUAACUGUGGGCUUGCGGUCGAUACGGGCAUCACUGGAGUUCGGCAGGGGAGACUGGAAUUCCUGGUGUAGCGGUGAAAUGCGCAGAUAUCAGGAGGAACACCCGGUGGCGAAGGCGGGGUCUCUGGGCCGCAA
rnacentral:rRNA from 1 species